GAUGAACGCUGGCGGCGUGCCUAAUACAUGCAAGUCGAGCGAACGGACGAGGAGCUUGCUUCUCUGAUGUUAGCGGCGGACGGGUGAGUAACACGUGGAUAACCUACCUAUAAGACUGGGAUAACUUCGGGAAACCGGAGCUAAUACCGGAUGAUAUUUUGAACCGCAUGGUUCAAUAGUGAAAGACGGUCUUGCUGUCACUUAUAGAUGGAUCCGCGCUGCAUUAGCUAGUUGGUAAGGUAACGGCUUACCAAGGCAACGAUGCGUAGCCGACCUGAGAGGGUGAUCGGCCACACUGGAACUGAGACACGGUCCAGACUCCUACGGGAGGCAGCAGUAGGGAAUCUUCCGCAAUGGGCGAAAGCCUGACGGAGCAACGCCGCGUGAGUGAUGAAGGUCUUCGGAUCGUAAAACUCUGUUAUUAGGGAAGAACAUAUGUGUAAGUAACUAUGCACAUCUUGACGGUACCUAAUCAGAAAGCCACGGCUAACUACGUG
rnacentral:rRNA from 1 species